rnacentral:lncRNA from 1 species
UCCAAAACGUUUAGCAACUGUACCCUCCAAGGCACUGUGGGAGGUGGCAAGAUAAAGACAGCACUGUCUACAAGGAGCUCACCAUCCUGUGAAAGACACAGCAGGAGAUUGUUUAAAGUCUAUCUUGAACGUCAACAAUUAAAAAAAAGGCACCAUUAAAAAAUAUCCAAAUGAGUGACCCUGACUGAAUACAGGCCCUGGACCCUUCCCUCAAGUCUCACCAGUUCUGCUCUCCCAUCAAGCAUCAGAUGCCAUGUUGUACUGGGGGAAAGUAGCCCUUGUGCUCCCCCCACCACCACCCCG